GCAUAUCAAUAAGCGGAGGAAAAGAAACCAACAGGGAUUGCCUCAGUAACGGCGAGUGAAGCGGCAACAGCUCAAAUUUGAAAUCUGGCCUCUGGCCCGAGUUGUAAUUUGCAGAGGAUGUUUCUGGCGAGGUGCCUUCCGAGUUCCCUGGAACGGGACGCCAUAGAGGGUGAGAGCCCCGUACGGUUGGUCGCUAAGCCUCUGUGAAACUCCUUCGACGAGUCGAGUAGUUUGGGAAUGCUGCUCUAAAUGGGAGGUGUACGCCUUCUUAAGCUAAAUACCGGCUAGAGACCGAUAGCGCACAAGUAGAGUGAUCGAAAGAUGAAAAGCACUUUGAAAAGAGGGUUAAAAAGUACGUGAAAUUGUUGAAAGGGAAGCGCUCUUGACCAGACUUGCGCCGGUUGAUCAUCCGCCGUUCUCGGUGGUGCACUCUGCCGGCUCAGGCCAGCAUCAGUUCGGUCCGGGGGAUAAAGGCUUCGGGAAUGUGGCUCUCUCCGGGGAGUGUUAUAGCCCGUUGCGUAAUACCCUGGGCUGGACUGAGGUUCGCGCAUCUGCAUGGAUGCUGGCGUAAUGGUUAUCAGUGACCCGUCUUGAAACACGGACC
rnacentral:rRNA from 1 species